AUGACGUGUAGUGUAUUUUUCUACUACUUUAAUAAUGGAAAUUUCAUCUGUGGUGUAUCAGAGAUUACUUUACUUUCUUUUGCUAAACAAUGCAUUAUCUCCCCUGCUACUGCUGUUUUUCUGUGUAUUUUUGUCAUUUUAAAUGUACUUUAUUUUAGGUACUCAAGAAAUGGCAACAUCCAGAAGAAGACGCCAUCUUAUCCAGCACGUUAUGGGUACACUCUGGUGGCUCCCGCCCCUGCAUCCUACCACCACCGUGUCCUGACUACGUUUACUAGGGAGUUGAAGCCUUUGGCGGCUCCUGCCACUGUGUCCUGCCACCACCGUGUCCUGACUACGUCCACUAGGGAGUUGGCAGCCUUCGUGAUGAUGCCAAGCAGGCUAGAAGCCGACAGAAAGAUUAAGGUUGCCUCGAAAUUUUACCCAAGCCAUGCCACACACUCGGGCCCCGCCUCUUGCAAACGACGUAUAACCAGGCUCAACGCAUGAGUGUCGAGUGAGUCCGGAGAUCAAGGCAACCUGCUGUGCAACCAGCGUGCAACCUUUGGUGACCCCUCUACAUGUUCCGCCUAUUUCACAGCUGUACCUCAGCUGCCAUCUAUCCGAACAGCAUGACCUGCGAAGAUGAAUGUUGGGCUGGAGUGAUUUGAAAAGACAUUCUAUUUGUCUCUUCAAGUUCUUAGCAAAUACUUGUGUUAUUAUAUUUCAUGUCUUUUUAGUACCUAGUUUUUACUGGUUAGUUUCUAUUAGAAUUGUCACCAUCGUUUGCUGCUAUUAUUAUGUAUGUCUGUCUUUAUGCCUAGUUUUUCGUAGUUCUUUUGUACUUGUGCAUGUAAUUGAUAGGUUCAUAAUUCUUAUACAGAAGGCUAAAAUGCAAACUUGGGGCAUUUUUUUUCCUUUUGAUAAUCUACAGCGCUGCAAAGUGUUCAAGAAAUGUAACCUAACGUGGGCUCUGGUGCAGGAAAAAUUUGAACAAUAUAGAGUACUUAUUUCAAACACCCAUUAUUUUUGGAAAAGUCAAGAAUAUAGGAGCACAAAAAAGAAUAUUAAACUAGAGAAACAUGAGUUCCCCUCAUAAGUCUGAUAAUAAUGUGACUUCCUUUCACUGCCAAGAUACCAGUAAUAUUAGCAUACAAGGUUUGAGCCACCAAAGCUAUGAUGCCCUUGGCAUUUCUCAGUGCCUAUUUCCCACACUGACGAAUGUCAAAGGCAUCAUAGGUUUCAUGCACACAUUGGUUGUGUUACACUCUUGAGUAUUGCAUUUCUCAAACACAAAGGUUUACAGCAUUGCUUUAAAUAGAAAAUGCAUUUCCUAAUUUAUUAGUGCAAGAGUAACAGUACAGAUCAUGUAAAAAUUAUUUUGCAGACUAUAUGUCCAUGGAUGCACGCUUCUGAUGACAUAGCAGUGACGUGGUCAUGAGAUGAAUGUAUUUGAGAUUUAAAUAUUGGCUUCCAGGUCUGGGUUAGUCUCCUACACUGAGUAUUCUAGGUCAGAGCCCAUUUACUACAGAAAGUGAAUUAAACUAGGAAUUAUAAACAUCAAAAGAUCUUGUUUAGGACACUAAUGUGACAAUCAGCAAGGUUCUUUGUGCAUUCAUUUCCAAAUUUGUGCGGACAUAUUAUAUGACUGGUUUCGUUAUUGCAAGAACAAAUAUUUGUUUAUUGUCGCUCUAGAGUUGGCUGACCCCAUUUGUAUACAACCACUUUACAGGCUAAAAAUUAAGUGUGCUACCCUAUUUACUCGCAUAAUGAUCGCACUUUUUUGUAAAAAAAAAUUGUCUCAAUGUCAGGGGUGCGAUCAUUACGCGGGUUAAAUUUCCCGCAAAAAGAAAAAAACGAUUUCAUCGGGCAUUUGCUACGGGAUGACAACAGGUCAACAAAUAGGCGGCUGCCGCUGUAUGUAGUGCGCGACACACAAAAAAAAUGGUGGCCGGCAGAGCAAGCCGAAGGCGCCAAAUGCGAUUUUUUUUUCUUCUCGUGAGUACAUUACGUGGCUUCAAACAGUUUCUUCUGUGUCAGUAAUGAAUAAUAUCAGCAAGUUUGCGGAAAUAACAUAGCCAUCUCCACUUUGAGGGGAGAGAAACAGAUGGGCGCCCUUAGCUGCCAGUGACACAGGAACAUAUGACGGGUAUGCUGCGGAAACUGCGGCAUUUGUCUUCACAACUAUCCUAAUAUGGCAUGUUUCCGGUAAGGGUGGGCGAAUAUCUUAGCUGUGUUACAAAUGUCGGCCUAUGAAUAGGGUACACUUCUAUCGUAUCAGUGUAAACGUGGCUGCUAUCGUCGCCGCUCAUGAUUUGUUGCGUGCCCACGAGUGCAGCCAAGAUACGAAAGGCGCCUUUUUUGUUGUUUUCGUUGACCACAACCAUUAUAAAGCCUACACAUAAUAAAGGCAAGUUUGGUUGUAGCUUUUUUGUCAUAGAAGUGCGAAAAGUUAUGAAAGGAAUGAAAUGGAGUAUCUGCUUAAGAAUGUUUGGUGCGUGCAGACCACUUGGUUUGUCUUGAAGAGUCGUUCGCAUAGCAGUCGACAGAUGGUAAGCGCGAUCAUUAUUAGCUAGACUUGGCACAUGACAUAUCACUGCGGCAAGUUCGGGGUGCACUCAUUACACGGGAAAUAAAAAAAUCGAAUUUUGACAACAAAAUUUAGGGGUGCGAUCAUUAGCGAGUGUGAUCAUUAUGCGAGUAGAUACGGUAAUAGGCUGUUUUUGCUUUUGCGCUCUCAAUGUUAAGGAAUGCAAGCAGUGCGUGGGGCUUUUUAGGCAGAUGCGUGCUUGUGCUAUUUAUAAAACUCCCCAUGGUAUGCCUGAAGGCAUUUUCUAACACUUUGGUAGAAUACACAGACACCCACUUCUUAAGGGGAAAUACUCCUCGAAACAACUUCUUUGUAUAUUUGUGCUAGAGAUUUGAAUAUGGCGUCAUUCAUAAAGUGUUUUAUUAGAUUUGAAUUGUCAUUGAUUUUUGUGUAGCUGCUGUUUUUUAGUUAUGGUCCUACACAGUGGCAAUAUAUUUUUGUGGGCACUCCCUUGUGUAUAAAAUUUUCAGAAAUAGCUUCAUGCUGUAUCUUAUUUAGCUAGUUGUAUAGUGCAAAGUGGUGGUACCUAUAUAAACGACUUGUACAAAUACUGGAACUAUACAAAAAAUAUUAGGCCACUUUAAAUAAUUUUAGAUUGCAAUUUCAAUUAGAUAUCAGCAUUC